AACGAACGCUGGCGGCAUGCCUAACACAUGCAAGUCGAACGAGAUCUUCGGAUCUAGUGGCGCACGGGUGCGUAACGCGUGGGAAUCUGCCCUUGGGUACGGAAUAACUCAGAGAAAUUUGUGCUAAUACCGUAUAAUGUCUUCGGACCAAAGAUUUAUCGCCCAAGGAUGAGCCCGCGUAGGAUUAGCUAGUUGGUGAGGUAAAAGCUCACCAAGGCGACGAUCCUUAGCUGGUCUGAGAGGAUGAUCAGCCACACUGGGACUGAGACACGGCCCAGACUCCUACGGGAGGCAGCAGUGGGGAAUAUUGGACAAUGGGCGAAAGCCUGAUCCAGCAAUGCCGCGUGAGUGAUGAAGGCCCUAGGGUUGUAAAGCUCUUUUACCCGGGAUGAUAAUGACAGUACCGGAGAAUAAGCUCCGGCUAACUUCGUG
rnacentral:rRNA from 1 species